rnacentral:tRNA from 1 species
GCCGGAGUGGUGAAAUUGGUAGACACGCACGACUCAAAAUCGUGUGAUCGCAAGGUCGUGACGGUUCGAGUCCGUCCUUCGGCA